rnacentral:tRNA from 1 species
GCGGGCGUAGUUUAGUGGCAAAACGCGAGCUUCCCAAGCUUGAAUUGAGGGUUCGAUUCCCUUCGCCCGCU